UUAUUACAACAUUGGAGAAAAAUCAAUUUGAGAAUUUAGGUUUCAAUCGAUCUCAAGUGACGACGAACUUGUGAGUGUGUAUGUGUGACUGUUGUGAACUCUCUCUGCUUCUUCGAAUGUGACGAGAAGAAGUUACGAAAGGAUAUGUCUCGGCUUUGAUUUACCUUCUUUUAACUCUGUAUAUGUUACUCUCUCUCUCUCUCUCUCUCUCUCUCUCUAUCUAUUGCGACAAGCCUUGACCUUGAUCGAUCCCUCUUUUACAAUUCCGAUACCCUUUUGAAAUUUCACAAUUCUUUCGUAUUCCUAAUGUUUCCAGGUUCAGUUCAAGUGGUAAAGUCUUUAUCUUUCCGUCUUUGAGUUCAUGAUUCCGGUUCUGAGUAGUGAAACUUUGGAGUUAUGGACAAAAUUAGUCAAUUGUCCGAUGAUGUACUCAUCAAGAUAUUAUCAUUAGUUCCAACAAAAGAUGCCAUCGCCAUGAGCACUUUGUCUAAACGAUGGGUGUCUCUUUGGACAUUGGUGCCAAGACUUGUCUUUGAUGAUUACUCAGACUCAGAGGAUGAAGAUGAAGAAGAGAAUCAAUCCAGAAACCUGGCGCAGUUUGUUUCCGGGACGUUGCUGUUACAUAAGGCAGCGGUUCUUGAAUGUUUUCAUCUCAACAUUGCUUCAGAAUGUAGCGGUUCCGAGGUUGGUUUAUGGGUUCGAAUCGCAGUUGAUCGUUUUGUGCGUGAUCUCAAGAUAAGUUUUUAUAAUGAUCAUGGCCCUGUUACGUUGCCAAGUAGGCUUUUUAGAUGUGAGGCAAUUGAGACUUUGGAACUCUGUAGAGUGAUUGCUUUGGACGUUCCUUCUCGGUUUAGCUUUCGUUCUCUCAAGAAGUUACGCCUUCUCUCUGUGAGGUACUCAGAUGAGGACUCUUUCUCUAGGUUUAUAUCAAAUUGUCCUGUUCUUGAAGAUUUGGUUGUGGAAACUUGUGACGAGGACAAUGUGGUGACAUUCACUGUUAAUGUGGCGUCCCUACAGAGUUUAUCCGUUUCUCGUACAUUACGAGAUUUACCAAAUCCUGAUGAAGUGUUUGUGAUACAUUCCCAUGGUUUGAAGCAGUUGAAAGUUAUGGACUACUUUGGUGAACUUAAUCUGAUAGGUAAUAUGCCCAAACUUGUAGAGGCAAAUCUUCAAUACGAGUGCCUCUAUGCCAAGGUUUUGGAACCUUUUACCUUUGUCAAGCGUCUUUAUCUCUGCUUAUUUGGAGAGGCUCAGUAUCUUACUGGUAUCGUUCUAUCCCAGCUUGUAUGUUUGGAGCUAUGUACCUGUGAAGAUAAUUGGACUAAUAUGCUUGUGAGUGUGCUCCAGCAUGCCCCUAAACUACAAGUUCUCAAGCUUGAGCUGAACCAUGACCAUUGUCUAGCUACGGUUCGUAAUGUUUGUUGGAUCCAGCCCGAGCGUGUUCCUGAAUGUUUCUUGUACCAACUCAAAACAUUUGAAUGGAGAAACUAUGGAGGAACACAAGUAGAGAAAGAACUGGCCAUGUACAUUUUGAAGAACGCGAGGCGAUUAGUGACUGCAACUAUCUACCCUGACUCAGUCAAGUUGGCGCGCAAACAUAAGAUGUUUGAGAAACUGGAAAUUGCAACUAGGAGUUCAAGAGCUUGUGAGCUUACAAUGGGAUAGAAAUUAAUCUCACCAAGUGUUGAAACUGUCCAGUUAACUAGUUUAAUGCGCAGUAUCCUACUGGUAGCGUUUUACUUCAACUCGUGCGUUUGGAGUUAUGUGUGCUCAGAGAACUGGUCGAACAUGUUUGAGUCUGUGCUCCAACAUUCCCCUAAACUUCAUAUUCUCAAGCUUGCGAUGAAUCAUUGUAUAGCUGUGGAUCGUAAAGUUGGCUGGAUUCAACCGAGUUGUGUUCCGGAAUGUUUAUUGUUCAAUCUCAAAUCCUUGGAGUGGAGACAAGGAAGAGAAGAAGAGAAAGAAGUUGCUAUGUAUAUUUUGAAUUAGGCAAAGCGAUUAGUGACCGCAACUAUCGAUCUUGAAUUAGUCACUUUGGCGUGCAGACUUAAAGUGAUCGAUGAAUUGGUAUUUGCUACGAGAGGCUCAAGAGCAUGUGAGCUUACAGUGUGCUGACCGCUGAAGAAAAUUUUACAUUGUUGAAAGUAUUUGUAACUUUUCAGUAACUAGUUGAAUGUGGAUUUAAAGCUAUUACAUUCUUGUAAAAUGAUUUGCUUUUUGUCUUGUUCAUGGUUACAAAGCC